ensembl:lncRNA
UCAUGUUAUGGGUGGGCCUCACUCACGCAGUUGAAGGCCUGAGUGGAAUGAAAAGAUUGAUGUUGCUGGGCAAGGGGGAAUUCUCUGGAAGACUGCCUUUGGGCUUCAUCAGCACCAUCUUGGGAAUGCAGUCUGCCAGCCUAUGCUGCAGAGUUUGGGCUUGCCAGCCUCUGUAAUCGUGGAACCAUUUUUUUUUUUUUUUUUUUUGUAACACAUAAACUUCUCUCACUCUUUCUCUCUCCCUCUCCUACUGGUUCUGUUUCUACAGACAGCCCUGACUAAUAUGCUUCCUUUCCUAUAUUUACAUUUCCCUUCUGUCCCUGAAUUUCUACAUUUUGUAAAGUGAACUCAGAUCAAUAUUUUAUGCUUUUUCUUCUUUUAGUGGUAAACUAGGAUGACUUGUUCUAUAUAAUAAAAAAAUAGAUAUAAGAAUAUAUAGGGAUAAGUAGAUGAGAAUGUAUCAGGCAGGGUUCUAGCAAGAAAUAGAAUUUUACCCCAAAGAAUUUAACCAAAAAAUGAUUAUUUGCAGAAGUAUAGACACAGUUAAGGGAACUAUAACUAGGAAUAGUGAAACCCUCAGGGAACCAACAUUAGCAGGAAGGUUACCACCCAACAGCCUGAAGGGACAAAGGCCAUGUUUCCAAAGCCCAUGAGUCUUGGAGGGGCUGCCUGGCAGCGGCUGCUAUAUGACGAGGAGGUGGCCGCAGUCAGACUAUGAUUGAAGCAAGGAGCAGAGGAAGAAAUACCCUGAUCUUUCUCCCAUCCUUUCUCUGAUCUCCUGCCACUGCCUCCUGUUGUCUGAACCCAACCAGAUGUCAAUGGCCAGGAACUGGGAGAUGCAGUCUAGAGAGCCCAGCCUCCUGGGGCACAUGACAGUAUAGAAGGGAUAGAUCUGGGGAGACAAAUGGGAUAGCUUGCAGAUCUUCAAAAUAGCCCAAAAGAUCUUGCUAAGGACUGAAGAAUAAUCACCCUUCACCUCCAGUUGAGCUCCCAGCUUUGAUGACUGAAGAAAGCCUCUCCUAAAUCUAUGCAGGAGCUUUUUCUUUCUGGAAACUUACUGUUUUCUAGAGGGAUCAGUAUGAUUCUACUCACUGGAUGUAACAGGAAAAUUUAUAAACCAUGGAAAGAAUUUUCCAGAACAGCUGUGAGUGAUAAGACUGGAUGGAAUCAGCAAGAGGCCUAUUUGCAGAGCAUGGGAGAGGAGCCUGAGGAGCUCAGAAGUUGAGCCUGAUUCUGAGGCUUCAAGUAUUUAAUUGAAAACAGAGCAGGCAGGCAGUGAACACAAAUGAGUGCGAAGGAAAGAAAUUCUGAUUAUUUACAAAGAUGCCUUGAUGUCCUAAAUCCCAAUGUUCAUCCAUUCCUUUGGGUAAAAGCAUCUUAUUUUAAAAAGCAGACACUUUGUGUAAGUUGCAGGAGGGUGGGUGGUACAGUUGUGUGGCCAACUCUGUCUUAGGAAUUAACUUUUGAGAUUAUUUGCCAUAAAAAAGGAGGUCGAAAUUGAUGAAGGUACAUUUUGUGUUCUUCACAGAAUAUUCUCCCACGGUCAGCAUGAGAUUACAGGGGCUCUAAUCAGCUGGUGAGACUCUUUUGGCCAUGUUUGCUUCUCAGUGUGGGACUUCAUAUAUAAAGCAGAGAGAAAGUAGCUGAAGAAAUAAUUGCUGAAUGUAUCUGUUCAGUCCCUAUGGUUAUCACCAAUCACAUGUCUUAGACUGCUCAGGCUGUUGUAACAAAAUACUAUAGAUCAGGUGAUGAGAUGAUUAAAUAGCAAAAUUGAGUUUAGCUAGCGAAGUUGAGGUAAGACUGCUGAUUCCAUCCAAUCUUAUCACCCACAGCUAUUCCGUCACUGACUCAACAGACCUGAGUCUGAGCAAACUCCAGGAGACAGUGAAGGACAGGGAAGUCUGGCGUGCUUCAGUCCAUGGUGUCACAGAGAGUCAGACACCACUAACUACUGAACAGUGAACAGCAAAUAGAUCAGGUGGCUUAGACAACAGACAUUGGUUUCUCAGGGUUCUGGAGGCCAGAAAGUCCAAAAUCCAGGUGCCAGUCAAUUUAGUUCCUGGUGAGGACCCACUUCCUGGUUUGCAGCUGGCUGCCUUCUCACCGUGUCCUCAUAUGGUAGGAGGUCUGAUGUUUCUUUCUCUUCUUACAAUGACACUAAUCCCAUCAUGAAAGCCACAGCCUCAUGACAUCAUCUUGCCCUAAUUACCUCCCAAAGGCUCACUCUGCAAACACCAUCAUGUUGGGAGUUAAGACUUCAACACAUAAAUUUUGGGGGGACACAAACAUUUGGUCCUUGAUGAGAUGGUACAAGUCACACACUGUGAAGAUGCUUGCAAAAUUGCUGCUAGGAGUAUUGCUAAAAUGUUAGCCUUUUUCCUUCAGCUUGACUUUGAUCCAUUAUUCUAAUGUUUUAAAUCAUUGGUUUUACACAUACAGAGAUUAAAUGUAUUGCAUCUCACUUCACUGGCAAAGGAAGUAUGUGGUCCUCCAGCUCAGUGACAGAUGGCCAAAGUUUACAAAACUACUAGGAAAACAUACUCAAUGCAUUAAAACAAAGUUCACUGCAAACACUGAACUGUUUCUUUUACAUUUUGAUCCAUAAGGUAAGAGCUCUCUAAUCUGGAAAAAAGAAAACACUGAACAUCGUUUAAAAAGAACCAACACCCUCUUUAGCUGUUCAGAGCAGUUUCUGUUUUUGGAUUAAAAGGCACUAAGUAAAAUACUUCUAAUGGAAUAGUUACAUGAGGCAACCUUGAAGAGAAAAUUGCUGACUUGAAUGGUAUUCCACUGUAUUCAAUGUGAUAAAAAUUGAAUUAUCUUCCUUAUAAUACUUUGUGAAUAAAAAUUUACUAGGCAACAUGACAGUAAUGAAAAAUCUGGAAAAGAAUUAGGAAAUAAUUACUGUUUACAUGAAAGCUAUUCAAUUAUUUAUGCAAGAAAACCUCUCAACUUCACUAUGAUGUCAUUCUCCAAAGUGAAAAUGUAUACUUGAAUGUCUCUUGUCAGUCUAUAACUCUAUCCUUAUAUCUACAUCUCUCCCUUAUAGAUGUUCUCACAGUUAAUCAGAAUGUCUCAGGAUUUGUAGAAGUAAGAAAUCUAGGGAGAGGGACUUCCCUGGCAGUCUAGUGGUUAAGACUGGUCCCUCUUCCAAUGCAUGGCGGACCGGUUUGAUCCCUGGUUGGGGAACUCAGAGACCACAUGCCAUGUGGUGUGGACAAAAACUUUUAAAAAAAGAAAAGAAAUCUAGGAAGAAAAUACCUUCCUGACAUCACAAUCAAUCUGUUUGUUUAUUUACAUGUCAUUGAUCAAAGUAAAUUUUUGAGAGAUUAAAACUGUUAUUCUCUGUGUCUGCAAUAGGGUGAUCAGAAGCUCUAGGCAGAGAACACAAGUAUAUCUGUGAUUCCCUUUGUACACCAUCUGACCCACUGCCACGACUUCAGGUGUUUUCAUCAUGAUAGUGAAGAACAAGGGCACCAAGUGAAGUUUGGAGUCAUGGUUCAGAGGCAAAGGAGUGGCUCUACAGCAGGGCCUGAGGGUCCAUGUGAAAGAGAUGAAACAAGCAACCUUUCUGGUAGACACUUCAGUCCUUGAUGGAAGACUGUGUUUCCAGAAAUUGAAUUGAAACCUCUACUUGGGGAAUUUAAAGGGAAGAAUGGAUCACAUUGCCGGUGAAUUUUUUUAACAUGGGAUUAACGUCUGGAAUAUACAGAGAAACUUCUGCAUAUCUACAACAACAAAAUAAUCCAGCAGAAAAAUGGGCAAAAUGUGGAAGAGGAUGUUUAUAGAAGAGGAAACUCUUCGAGGUAAAAAACAGAUGUACAGAUGCUCUAACAUUAUUAAUAAAGGAAAUUAAAGUAAAAUAAUGAGAUAUCACAUUGUGCCCAUUAACUAGGCAAUAAUCAGAGAGAUGGAUGUUGCCUACUGUUGCGAGGAUUGUGAGAUUAGGAGUGUCCUGGCCUUCUGGUGAAAGAGUAGGCUGGGCAGCCAUCUGUGAGGCAGUGACACCACUCAGCCCAGCUGAGUGUAUGUCUAAGCCUGCUGAGGCAGGAGGCAAUCUGAUGUCCUUCAUCAGAAGCAGAUGGAUAAAAUGUGAGGGUGAACCCCCCUGGAGGACCAUACUGCAGCUAGAAGCAAUGGAUUCAAUUUUCAUAUAGGAGCAUGGGUAGAUCUUAAAGUUAUAGUGCUGACCAAACAAAGUAACAAACAGAUGAGAUAUAUAACAUAAUUAUAUUUCUAUAAAUAAAAGAUACAUCCUAAACUAUUUAACACUUAGGAAAAACAUACUGAAAAAUCUUCCUGAUAUUACAUUUGGCAAUAAUUGUUUGGCUAUGACAUCAAAAGCACAGGCCAUGAAAGUAAAAAGUUGACAACUUGGACUUCAUAAAGUUAUAAACUUUUGUAUACCAAAGGACACUAUCAAGAGAGUAAAAAGGCAACCCAUGGAAUGGGAGAAAAUAUUUGCAAAUCAUAUAUAUCUGAUAAGGCAUUAAUACCCGGGAUAUGAAAAAACUCCUACAACUCAACAACCAAAAAACAAACAACCUAAUUUAAAAACGGGCAAAGAAAUUGAAUAGACACAAUGCAAAGAAAAUAUGCAAAUAGCCAAUAAUCAUAUUUAAAAAUCCUCCACACCACUAGUCAUUAGGGAAGUGCAUGUUCAAACCAUGGUAAUAAAUCACUUCACACCUAUUAGGAGGGCUAUUAUUAAAAGAAAAACAAGCCAGAAAAUAGCAAGUAGUGGGGAAGAUGUAGAGAAACUGGAAACCUAUGUAUCACUGGUGGGGAUGUAAAGUGGUAGAUCCAUUGUGAAGAAAGAGUAUGGUGGUUCUUCAGAAAAUUAAACGUAGGAUUGCCAUUCGAUCCAGCAAUAACCCUUCUGGGUAUAUACCACGAAGAAGUGAAAGCAGGAACCUGAUCAGAUAUUUGUAUACCUAUAUUCAUAGCAGCGUUAUUCACAAUAGCCAAUCAGUGGAAACAAUCCAAGUGUCCAUCAACAGAUGAAUGAAUGAACAGGGUGUGGUA